GGGAAACCUGAAAUUUCUCCCAGAGAUAACAUCCAACUGUUUUUGUUAUUUUCCGCUCGAUAGUCUGUUUGUACUAUGGAUUGAUCUGUACGGAAGGCUUGAUCGCUAGCAUCGCUGCUGCUCCUCCUCUUUGCCCUCUUUGGCAUUGAGUAGGAGGAGCACGUGCUGCCUCCAAACCUCAUCAGAGGGGAUGACGCCUCGGCUGCCGGCAUAGAGAAUAACGAAGAUAAUGUGUUUUCUCACUAUAAGUCUACUAAACUUGAGAGUCUUUGGUUCAGUUUAGCCGAUGGCCUUUCUGAAUGUGCCUCCAUGGAUGGAGCUUUGUUGAUGGCGUUGUUGGAUACAUGAAUGAAGUACUAUCUGAAGACUGGAACAUGCAAGUUUGGGGCUACAUGUAAAUUCCAUCAUCCCAGCGAAAAGGCUGGAAUCUAGGGAAUGGCGCAGCUAAACACGUUGGGAUACUCACUUUGACCGAUUGUGUGUUGAAGCUCCUCCAGACGGCAUCCUCCUGUAGCAAAUCCUGGUUUUUUGAUGAAUCUGUUGUUCCUUAGAUCAUGGUUAUGGGGUUGAUGCUUUCCAGCAUUGCCAGUUCAGCUAUACCAGCAAUGGUCGCGAGAAGGACCAUGCACUCCGUCAUGAGCACCGACAGUGGCCUUGCCGACGAAACAACGUGAUCUGCUUCAUCAACCAACAACCAGUUGUAUAACUAUAUAAGAGAUAUGGUUUCGGGAUUGGACAAAUGAAGGCCGAGCUACAUGUAGGCCUUUAUGUGGGCGAGCGCGCAACAAGACAUUGUUCCUACCUUUUUGCUCUUUACAAUUCAGGGUUGCCUGCUGUGGAGGAAUCUGAAGGGGGCAAGGUUACAAAGACAGUGCUUCAGUGAAUCUAUUAGCAAAUUAGAAUCUUGAGGACAUUAGUGUAGCAAACACGAGAAAUCUUGAUGUCCUUCCCUUUCACAGCCUGAUGUCAUGAUGAGAUAGAAAAUAAUGGGUGAUCCUUCAGGUGUUCAAUAUAAUUUGCCAUUAGUCUCAAGCCAUACAUUUUUGAAUCCUGGACAACCAACUGCAAUGGAGGCCAUGCAAGGAAGUAAACCAUGAACACACUCUUUCACAACU